rnacentral:misc_RNA from 1 species
ACACAUCCUGAGAUAAUCAGCAAAAUGGCUGCUCCAACCACCACUAUGAAAGCGCUUGUGAAAACGAAGGAAGGCAAGUCUUUUGAGUACCUAGAUGUGCCAAUACCAGAGCCCAGCGGUGACGAAGUUCUUAUCAAGGUGGAUGCGGUGUCUGUCUGUGGUUCUGACAUCAACUUGUAUACCUGGAACCAGGUGGCGCAGGUCAUAGCCUCGAUUCCAUUUACGCCAGGUCACGAGUGUGCAGGGACAGUGGUCAAAUGUGGCCCCGAUGUCAAAGGGGUGGCGGUUGGGGCACGUGUCGGGGUGGAGAACCACUAUUACUGUGGGGAGUGUUACCAGUGUCAACAUGACACCAAGGCCAUAUGCAAGAACAUGGGCCAGUUUGGUCACGGCAAAAAGACGCCUUAUGGAGGUUGUUCCGAGUAUACAAUUGUGCCAGCAAAAUAUCUGUACCAAUUGACAAGGAAUAUUGACGCAGACGAGAUUGCUAUGCUGGAGCCGCUAGGUGUCGCUCACAACGCCGUGGAGAGACUUGAAGUGGCGGGAGAAAACGUCCUCGUCAUUGGUUGCGGACCAGUUGGUCUACUGGGUUGUAUCAGCUGAUAUUGACCAAAGCCGACUUGAUAUGGCAAAGUCCUUUGGAGCAGACGUAAUAGUCAACACAAAGGAUAAAAACCUGAAAGAAGUAAGAUAUAAAUACUUUAGUAUUGUACUUUAAUUUAGUGUGUGCGAUUAUGUUAAUAAAUUCAACAUUAAAAUUUUCUAAGAAAAAUGUAAAGGGCAUUUUUUCUGCUUAGUCGUCAGCAGUUUCAAGGACAUGUAGAAAUGAGCAAACUGAGUAGCCUGCGUUGAUGUUCACACAUGUUUGUAUAUUGAAUUUUGUGAUGUAUAUAUUUUUUUUUACUAGUUGCUUUCUUUGGUGUUUCAUUUUUGUAUAAAGGUAGCAAUGGUUACAUGAAGAGAAACUACCCCGUGUUAGUUGGUUAUGUAGUUUUUUUUCUGCAAUGAUCUCUAACUUUAUAUCUAGACCGUGUGUCGCUAUUUAAUGUCACACAUAAAUGGAUUAUUAGUUUGUCAUGGAAUUUACCAAUGGUGACGGGAUGGGCAGGAUCUGUGAGUGUAGCGGCGCCAGCUCCAUGGUCAACUUGACCUUCUCCAUGCUCCGGAAGGGUGGACAGAUGACCUUGGUGGGUCUCCCCAAGGAACCCCUUCAUGUGGAGAAUGUUCUUCAGGACGUCGUGUUCAAAGCGUUAACAUUGAAGACCAUUCAUGGCCGCCAGAUCUAUCACACUUGGGUGGAAACCGAAAAGUUAGUGGCAGACGGUAAAAUUGACGUCAAAAAGGUCAUCACGAGCAGGUUCCCGAUGUCACGGUACGAGGACGCGUUCAAAGCGCUGUUUGAGGGGAAGGACUGUAAGAUAGUGCUCUAUCCCUCCCAGUGAUUGGAGCACACAAGUCACGUGUCAACGUCAUUAAUAAGAGUGACACCGUGACGUAUUUUAUGAUGACGCAAACAAAUAAAAUGAGAGAAUGUUAUAAAAUGUAUUUUCUAUAAUUACUAAUAAAUGAUUACAACAACAC